AACGAACGCUGGCGGCAUGCCUAACACAUGCAAGUCGAACGAGACCUUCGGGUCUAGUGGCGCACGGGUGCGUAACGCGUGGGAACCUGCCCUUAGGUUCGGAAUAACUCCCCGAAAGGGGUGCUAAUACCGGAUAAUGUCUUCUUACCAAAGAUUUAUCGCCUUUGGAUGGGCUCGCGUUUGAUUAGCUAGUUGGUAGGGUAAAAGCCUACCAAGGCGACGAUCCAUAGCUGGUCUGGGAGGAUGAUCAGCCACACUGGGACUGAGACACGGCCCAGACUCCUACGGGAGGCAGCAGUGAGGAAUAUUGGACAAUGGGGGAAAGCCUGAUCCAGUAAUGCCGCGUGAGUGAUGAAGGCCUGAGGGUUGUAAAGCUCUUUUACCCGAGAUGAUAAUGACAGUACCGGGAGAAUAAGCUCCGGCUAACUCCGUG
rnacentral:rRNA from 1 species